rnacentral:rRNA from 1 species
UACGUAGGAGGCGAGCGUUGUCCGGAAUCAUUGGGCGUAAAGAGCGCGCAGGCGGCUUGGCAAGUCGGGUGUGAAAUCCCCGGGGCUCCAACCCCGGGACUGCAUUCGAUACUGUCAGGCUAGAGGUAGGUAGGGGAGAUCGGAAUUCCUGGUGUAGCGGUGAAAUGCGCAGAUAUCAGGAGGAACACCGGUGGCGAAGGCGGCCUGCUGGGCAGUGGCUGACACUGAGGCGCGACAGCGUGGGGAGCAAACAGG